AGGAAAUAGCCGUUACCAGGGCCUGGGGGCUCUACCUGAGGCCUGGGUGGCUGGGCUGGGGCCCAGACUCCAGACUAUCAGCGAUGUGAAGUCCGGAGGUCCAGGGUGUGGUCUUGACAUUGUCCAGGAGAACCUGGGCCAUGUCCUGGAAUCCACGUUGCCGGGUGGCUCUCCAGAAGUCCCCAGGGAGGCAGGGGAGGCCUCAAGCCACACACCUGCUGCAGCCUUUCCUUCAUCCUGCAGGCCUCCCACGCUGGACCGUGUGCUCUAGGUACUUCCCUCCCCACCCCAAGGUUCCCUUAUAGGAAGUAGCCCCCUCAAGCAGUCUGCCUUCCCCACUCCCCACCACCACAAAAAUUCUGGGGAGUACAGUUUUCCCUAUUUUAUAAUGGCCUUGCUUUCUUAGCAUUCCCUUCAAAUGGAGGUUGAGCAUUUCCCUCCCUACCCAGCCUUCCUUUCUCUCAGCUCAGGGACCCCUCCUGUGGGCCCCUCCCUCAACACCAACAGCUCCUAGUCCACACUUUCUAAAUGCAGAGCUCCGCUGAAAGUUGGACUUCCAGGAGCCAGGUGAUAAUUCCUGACUCCAUGCGUCCUUCCCCUGGCUUAAUGGCUGCUGUGAUAAAGAAACACCUUAGUCUAUGUGAUUCUUGGGCAUUUUCUUACCUCCACUAUCCCAUGCAGGGACAGUGCAGAACUGGGGAUUGAAUGCAGGUGUCUAUCAGUGAGCUCCAUCCCCAGCCCUUUUAAUCUUUUAUUUUGAAACAGGGUCUCUCUCUAAGUUGCUGAAGCUAUCCUCCAACUUGCAGUUCUCCUGCAUCAGCCUCCUGAGAGGCUGGAGUCACAGGCAUGUGCCCCUGUGCCCAGCUUGCUCCAUCUCUUUUCUAUGGCAGCUUCCCCCAGAGUUUCCCUUCCUUUCCUAGAAUGACCUAGGUUAUUUAAAAUGUUUUUCUCCUUCAGAAAAGUUGGCUGUACACUGAAUUUCUAAAAAGUUAAUCACAUUUCUACCUCAACUUUUGUUGUUCUCAUGGGAAAACACCCAUUGGCCUGGGCUGGCAAUCUGGAGAGGAAGGUGGCCAGUCCUCCCACAGAAACACCCCUGCACAAUCCACUCAGCACCAGAACCCUCGCCUGCGCUCUGAUUCCCAGCAUACACCUUUCCAGGGUUGUUGGAACCAUUUCUUGCUAGGAAUUUCCUCCAAGUGGCUGGCUAAUUUGAUUGUUCAGGAACUGGAAAGUACUGGAACUGGAAGUACUGUGUGGAAUUACUGGAAAUCCUCUCAGCAGGGUGCUGGAUCCUCCAGGGAAGCUGUGGGGGUGUCUCUGAUUAGAGGUGUUAGACACAAACAAGGCACAGAGACAGAACUGCACUGGCAGAAAACAGUACAGCAAAUAACUCUUGUUCACAAAGAGCUGACCUGAAACUUGUGAUCCUCCUGCUUCAGCCUCCCAAGUAACUGGGAUUACAGGUAUGCACCACUGUGCCCAGCUUAAGCCCUCUUCUGAACAUACUGCAAUAUCUUAACCGGUUUCCUCAUUAAUUGAUAAAGUCAUAAUUUUGCCUUUCUGGAAAAAACUGUCCUUUAACUAUAGCCUGUUCAUUUAUUUUUAUAAUAUAUUUAUUUGUCCUUGGACUAGCUUAGCAAACCAUAAUCUUCAUUAGGGUCUUGCCUCCUAGGAAAUAUUGUGAAUGAUUUUGAAAUGGGCAAAGGAUGUGCUAGGUGUCCUUUCAAAGGAAUGCCAAGCAUCAUCUAGCAGAUCCUUUGGCAUUAUCUAAUACGUGGGGUCCUUUGUGCCUUUGUCUUUGACUAGGCUAUUUUUUUCAAAUCGGCUUUCCCCCUUCAUCUUGUAGUAAAGGUGAUUCCAAACAUUACAUUUUGUUGCUCAUACUGCUAACC